AGCGUACACGGUGGAUGCCCUGGCAGUCAGAGGCGAUGAAGGACGUGCUAAUCUGCGAUAAGCGUCGGUGAGGUGAUAUGAACCGUUAUAACCGGCGAUUUCCGAAUGGGGAAACCCAGUGUGUUUCGACACACUAUCAUUAACUGAAUCCAUAGGUUAAUGAGGCGAACCGGGGGAACUGAAACAUCUAAGUACCCCGAGGAAAAGAAAUCAACCGAGAUUCCCCCAGUAGCGGCGAGCGAACGGGGAGGAGCCCAGAGCCUGAAUCAGUGUGUGUGUUAGUGGAAGCGUCUGGAAAGGCGUGCGAUACAGGGUGACAGCCCCGUACACAAAAAUGCACAUAUUGUGAGCUCGAUGAGUAGGGCGGGACACGUGGUAUCCUGUCUGAAUAUGGGGGGACCAUCCUCCAAGGCUAAAUACUCCUGACUGACCGAUAGUGAACCAGUACCGUGAGGGAAAGGCGAAAAGAACCCCGGCGAGGGGAGUGAAAAAGAACCUGAAACCGUGUACGUACAAGCAGUGGGAGCCUCUUAAUGGGGUGACUGCGUACCUUUUGUAUAAUGGGUCAGCGACUUAUAUUCUGUAGCAAGGUUAACCGAAUAGGGGAGCCGAAGGGAAACCGAGUCUUAACUGGGCGUUAAGUUGCAGGGUAUAGACCCGAAACCCGGUGAUCUAGCCAUGGGCAGGUUGAAGGUUGGGUAACACUAACUGGAGGACCGAACCGACUAAUGUUGAAAAAUUAGCGGAUGACUUGUGGCUGGGGGUGAAAGGCCAAUCAAACCGGGAGAUAGCUGGUUCUCCCCGAAAGCUAUUUAGGUAGCGCCUCGUGAAUUCAUCUCCGGGGGUAGAGCACUGUUUCGGCAAGGGGGUCAUCCCGACUUACCAACCCGAUGCAAACUGCGAAUACCGGAGAAUGUUAUCACGGGAGACACACGGCGGGUGCUAACGUCCGUCGUGAAGAGGGAAACAACCCAGACCGCCAGCUAAGGUCCCAAAGUCAUGGUUAAGUGGGAAACGAUGUGGGAAGGCCCAGACAGCCAGGAUGUUGGCUUAGAAGCAGCCAUCAUUUAAAGAAAGCGUAAUAGCUCACUGGUCGAGUCGGCCUGCGCGGAAGAUGUAACGGGGCUAAACCAUGCACCGAAGCUGCGGCAGCGACACUAUGUGUUGUUGGGUAGGGGAGCGUUCUGUAAGCCUGUGAAGGUGGCCUGUGAGGGUUGCUGGAGGUAUCAGAAGUGCGAAUGCUGACAUAAGUAACGAUAAAGCGGGUGAAAAGCCCGCUCGCCGGAAGACCAAGGGUUCCUGUCCAACGUUAAUCGGGGCAGGGUGAGUCGACCCCUAAGGCGAGGCCGAAAGGCGUAGUCGAUGGGAAACAGGUUAAUAUUCCUGUACUUGGUGUUACUGCGAAGGGGGGACGGAGAAGGCUAUGUUGGCCGGGCGACGGUUGUCCCGGUUUAAGCGUGUAGGCUGGUUUUCCAGGCAAAUCCGGAAAACCAAGGCUGAGGCGUGAUGACGAGGCACUACGGUGCUGAAGCGACAAAUGCCCUGCUUCCAGGAAAAGCCUCUAAGCAUCAGGUAACAUCAAAUCGUACCCCAAACCGACACAGGUGGUCAGGUAGAGAAUACCAAGGCGCUUGAGAGAACUCGGGUGAAGGAACUAGGCAAAAUGGUGCCGUAACUUCGGGAGAAGGCACGCUGAUAUGUAGGUGAAGCGACUUGCUCGUGGAGCUGAAAUCAGUCGAAGAUACCAGCUGGCUGCAACUGUUUAUUAAAAACACAGCACUGUGCAAACACGAAAGUGGACGUAUACGGUGUGACGCCUGCCCGGUGCCGGAAGGUUAAUUGAUGGGGUUAGCGGCAACGCGAAGCUCUUGAUCGAAGCCCCGGUAAACGGCGGCCGUAACUAUAACGGUCCUAAGGUAGCGAAAUUCCUUGUCGGGUAAGUUCCGACCUGCACGAAUGGCGUAAUGAUGGCCAGGCUGUCUCCACCCGAGACUCAGUGAAAUUGAACUCGCUGUGAAGAUGCAGUGUACCCGCGGCAAGACGGAAAGACCCCGUGAACCUUUACUAUAGCUUGACACUGAACAUUGAGCCUUGAUGUGUAGGAUAGGUGGGAGGCUUUGAAGUGUGGACGCCAGUCUGCAUGGAGCCGACCUUGAAAUACCACCCUUUAAUGUUUGAUGUUCUAACGUUGGCCCGUAAUCCGGGUUGCGGACAGUGUCUGGUGGGUAGUUUGACUGGGGCGGUCUCCUCCUAAAGAGUAACGGAGGAGCACGAAGGUUGGCUAAUCCUGGUCGGACAUCAGGAGGUUAGUGCAAUGGCAUAAGCCAGCUUGACUGCGAGCGUGACGGCGCGAGCAGGUGCGAAAGCAGGUCAUAGUGAUCCGGUGGUUCUGAAUGGAAGGGCCAUCGCUCAACGGAUAAAAGGUACUCCGGGGAUAACAGGCUGAUACCGCCCAAGAGUUCAUAUCGACGGCGGUGUUUGGCACCUCGAUGUCGGCUCAUCACAUCCUGGGGCUGAAGUAGGUCCCAAGGGUAUGGCUGUUCGCCAUUUAAAGUGGUACGCGAGCUGGGUUUAGAACGUCGUGAGACAGUUCGGUCCCUAUCUGCCGUGGGCGCUGGAGAACUGAGGGGGGCUGCUCCUAGUACGAGAGGACCGGAGUGGACGCAUCACUGGUGUUCGGGUUGUCAUGCCAAUGGCACUGCCCGGUAGCUAAAUGCGGAAGAGAUAAGUGCUGAAAGCAUCUAAGCACGAAACUUGCCCCGAGAUGAGUUCUCCCUGACUCCUUGAGAGUCCUGAAGGAACGUUGAAGACGACGACGUUGAUAGGCCGGGUGUGUAAGCGCAGCGAUGCGUUGAGCUAACCGGUACUAAUGAACCGUGAGGCUUAACC
rnacentral:rRNA from 1 species